rnacentral:lncRNA from 1 species
GGGGUAUAGAGGUCAGGUAUAGAGGUCACGUAGAGAGGGGUAUAGAGGUCACGUAGAGAGUUCACGUAGAGAGGGGUAUAGAGGUCACGUAGAGAGGGGUAUAGAGGUCACGUAUAGAGGUGACAGAGAGAGGGGUAUAGAGGUCAGGUAUAGAGGUCACGUAGAGAGGGGUAUAGAGGUCACGUAGAGAGGGGAAUAUAGAGGUCAAGUAGAGAGGGGUAUAGAGGUCACGUAGAGAGGAGUAUAGAGGUCACGUAGAGAGGGGUAUAGAGAUCACGUAGAGAGGUCACGUAUAGAGGUGACAUAGAGAGGGGUAUAGAGGUCACGUAGAGAGGGGUAUAGAGGUCACGUAGAGAGGGGUAUAGAGGUCACGUAGAGAGGGGUAUAGAGGUCACGUAGAGAGGGGUAUAGAGGUCACGUAGAGAGGGGUAUAGAGGUCAGGUAUAGAGGUCACAUAGAGAGGGGUAUAGAGGUCACGUAGAGAGGGGUAUAGAGGUCAGGUAUACAGUUCACGUAGAGAGGGGUAUAGAGGUCACGUAGAGAGCAGAAUAUAGAGGUCAAGUAGAGAGGGGUAUAGAGGUCACGUAGAGAGGGGUAUAGAGGUCAGGUAUAGAGGUCACGUAGAGGGGUAUAGAGGUCACAUAGAGAGGGGAAUAUAGAGGUCAAGUAGAGAGGGUUAUAGAGGUCACGUAGAGAGGGGUAUAGAGGUCACGUAGAGAGGGGUAUAGAGGUCACGUAGAGAGGGGUAUAGAGGUCACGUAGAGAGGGGUAUAGAGGUCACGUAGAGAGGGGUAUAGAGGUCACGUAGAGAG